rnacentral:siRNA from 1 species
ACGAUGAUGCAUAGAACCGCUAG